AUGAGGCGAACCGGGGGAACUGAAACAUCUAAGUACCCCGAGGAAAAGAAAUCAACCGAGAUUCCCCCAGUAGCGGCGAGCGAACGGGGAGGAGCCCAGAGCCUGAAUCAGUGUGUGUGUUAGUGGAAGCGUCUGGAAAGGCGCGCGAUACAGGGUGACAGCCCCGUACACAAAAAUGCACAUGCUGUGAGCUCGAUGAGUAGGGCGGGACACGUGGUAUCCUGUCUGAAUAUGGGGGGACCAUCCUCCAAGGCUAAAUACUCCUGACUGACCGAUAGUGAACCAGUACCGUGAGGGAAAGGCGAAAAGAACCCCGGCGAGGGGAGUGAAAAAGAACCUGAAACCGUGUACGUACAAGCAGUGGGAGCACAGAGCAAUCUGUGUGACUGCGUACCUUUUGUAUAAUGGGUCAGCGACUUAUAUUCUGUAGCAAGGUUAACCGAAUAGGGGAGCCGAAGGGAAACCGAGUCUUAACUGGGCGUUAAGUUGCAGGGUAUAGACCCGAAACCCGGUGAUCUAGCCAUGGGCAGGUUGAAGGUUGGGUAACACUAACUGGAGGACCGAACCGACUAAUGUUGAAAAAUUAGCGGAUGACUUGUGGCUGGGGGUGAAAGGCCAAUCAAACCGGGAGAUAGCUGGUUCUCCCCGAAAGCUAUUUAGGUAGCGCCUCGUGAAUUCAUCUCCGGGGGUAGAGCACUGUUUCGGCAAGGGGGUCAUCCCGACUUACCAACCCGAUGCAAACUGCGAAUACCGGAGAAUGUUAUCACGGGAGACACACGGCGGGUGCUAACGUCCGUCGUGAAGAGGGAAACAACCCAGACCGCCAGCUAAGGUCCCAAAGUCAUGGUUAAGUGGGAAACGAUGUGGGAAGGCCCAGACAGCCAGGAUGUUGGCUUAGAAGCAGCCAUCAUUUAAAGAAAGCGUAAUAGCUCACUGGUCGAGUCGGCCUGCGCGGAAGAUGUAACGGGGCUAAACCAUGCACCGAAGCUGCGGCAGCGACGCUGAUGCGUUGUUGGGUAGGGGAGCGUUCUGUAAGCCUGUGAAGGUGUGCUGUGAGGCAUGCUGGAGGUAUCAGAAGUGCGAAUGCUGACAUAAGUAACGAUAAAGCGGGUGAAAAGCCCGCUCGCCGGAAGACCAAGGGUUCCUGUCCAACGUUAAUCGGGGCAGGGUGAGUCGACCCCUAAGGCGAGGCCGAAAGGCGUAGUCGAUGGGAAACAGGUUAAUA
rnacentral:rRNA from 1 species